AUGUGAUGAUCAUCAGAUGACGAGUCCGAACUCGUCGGUGUCAAGUUCCUUGUCCCCGGCGUCCUUUGACGACACACCUUUUAUUUACCAUUCAUGCAAUCCUGAUC
rnacentral:snoRNA from 1 species